rnacentral:tRNA from 1 species
UCCCGUGUGGCUCAGUUGGUGGAGUGUGGUGCUUGCAACGCCAGGGUCGAGUGGGUUCAAUUCCCACAGGGGAC